GAUGAACGCUGGCGGCGUGCCUAAUACAUGCAAGUCGAGCGAACGGACGAGAAGCUUGCUUUUCUGAUGUUAGCGGCGGACGGGUGAGUAACACGUGGAUAACCUACCUAUAAGACUGGGAUAACUUCGGGAAACCGGAGCCAAUACCGGAUAAUAUUUUGAACCGCAUGGUUCAAAAGUGAAAGACGGUCUUGCUGUCACUUAUAGAUGGAUCCGCGCUGCAUUAGCUAGUUGGUAAGGUAACGGCUUACCAAGGCAACGAUGCAUAGCCGACCUGAGAGGGUGAUCGGCCACACUGGAACUGAGACACGGUCCAGACUCCUACGGGAGGCAGCAGUAGGGAAUCUUCGGCAAUGGGCGAAAGCCUGACGGAGCAACGCCGCGUGAGUGAUGAAGGUCUUCGGAUCGUAAAACUCUGUUAGUAGGGAAGAACAGAUGUGUAAGUAACCGUGCACAUCUUGACGGUACCUAAUCAGAAAGCCACGGCUAACUACGUG
rnacentral:rRNA from 1 species